rnacentral:tRNA from 1 species
GCCUUGAUGGUGAAAUGGUAGACACGCGAGACUCAAAAUCUCGUGCUAAAUAGCGCGGAGGUUCGAGUCCUCUUCAAGGCA